CCGCCGACCGACCUUGAUCUUUUGUGAAGGGUUCGAGUGUGAGCAUGNCUGUCGGGACCCNNARGAUGGUGAACUAUGCSUGAGCNGGGCGAAGCCAGAGGAAACUCUGGUGGAGGCCCGNAGCGAUACUGACGUGCAAAUCGUUCGUCUGACUUGGGKAUAGGGGCGAAAGACUAAUCGAACCGUCUAGUAGCCCCUGGAAACGGUUCAGCCGGAGGUAGGGUCCAGCGGCUGGAAUANCACCGCACGUNGCGUGGUGUCCGGUGCCCCCGGCGGCCCUUGAAAAUCCGGAGGACCGGGUGCCGGCCGGGGGACGGUUCGGGGGCCUUUCCCCGGGCGUCGAACAGUCGACUCAGAACUGGUACGGACAAGGGGRNUCCGACUGUUUAAUUAAAACAAAGCAUUCCGAUGGU
rnacentral:rRNA from 1 species